rnacentral:lncRNA from 10 species
AAAAUUUUUUCCCUAGUGUUCCAGAGAGCUACCAAAGUGCUUUCUGUGAGGAAGUCCCAUGGUCUGGUUUAUAUCUUAACAGCAUCAAUGGCUGUUAUAUGAGAUGGAGUAAUAAUGCAAGCAUGGAAACCGGUGAUGAAACUACAAUAGCCAUGUGGGAGAUAAUUACGGCAUGAACUAGAGGGAUGGCAGCAGAGACUGCAGUAGCCAACUGUCCUUUGUAAUCUGCUCCACCUUUUUUGGAGGGCACAGUGGAAUUUGGGAGGAGAGGAGAAAACUAACUAUACCUCGUAUUUUGCUCCAAUGAGUUCAACUGUAUCCACAGCUUUAAAAAGGAUGCUGGUUUUACCUGAGCCCAUUGAUGAUGCCAAUACGGCAAAAGCUUCUAAAGCUGCUUGGCGUACCCUGCGUUUGCUAUCUACAAGAGCUGGGGCAAGAUCAAAGGACAGUUUGGGCAAGUCAAAAUCCUCACUAGGAUAGGUCAGCAGGGAGCAGAUGCAAAUGUUCACCACCUCCUCUCUCACUCUGGAAUGCUUAUGUUUGAGAUGUU